UCCCCGAGCUUAACUCGGGAAUUGCAUUCGAUACUGGUUGGCUAGAGUAUGGGAGAGGAUGGUAGAAUUCCAGGUGUAGCGGUGAAAUGCGUAGAGAUCUGGAGGAAUACCGAUGGCGAAGGCAGCCAUCUGGCCUAAUACUGACACUGAGGUACGAAAGCAUGGGGAGCAAACAGGAUUAGAUACCCUGGUAGUCCAUGCCGUAAACGAUGUCUACUAGCCGUUGGGGUCUUUGAGACUUUAGUGGCGCAGCUAACGCGAUAAGUAGACCGCCUGGGGAGUACGGUCGCAAGACUAAAACUCAAAUGAAUUGACGGGGGCCCGCACAAGCGGUGGAGCAUGUGGUUUAAUUCGAUGCAACGCGAAGAACCUUACCUGGUCUUGACAUAGUAAGAACUUUCCAGAGAUGGAUUGGUGCCUUCGGGAGCUUACAUACAGGUGCUGCAUGGCUGUCGUCAGCUCGUGUCGUGAGAUGUUGGGUUAAGUCCCGCAACGAGCGCAACCCUUUUCCUUAUUUGCCAGCGGGUUAAGCCGGGAACUUUAAGGAUACUGCCAGUGACAAACUGGAGGAAGGCGGGGACGACGUCAAGUCAUCAUGGCCCUUACGACCAGGGCUACACACGUGCUACAAUGGUCGGUACAAAGGGUUGCUACCUAGCGAUAGGAUGCUAAUCUCAAAAAGCCGAUCGUAGUCCGGAUUGGAGUCUGCAAC
rnacentral:rRNA from 1 species